rnacentral:rRNA from 1 species
UACGAAGGGGGCUAGCGUUGCUCGGAAUCACUGGGCGUAAAGCGCACGUAGGCGGCUUGCUAAGUCAGGGGUGAAAUCCUGGAGCUCAACUCCAGAACUGCCUUUGAUACUGGCGACCUUGAGUCCGGGAGAGGUGAGUGGAACUGCGAGUGUAGAGGUGAAAUUCGUAGAUAUCGCUUGGAACGCCGACGGCGAAAGCAGUCUGCCGGGGGCCUUCUGACGCUGAGACACGAAAGCCAGGGGAGCGAACGGG